AUUGAACGCUGGCGGCAGGCCUAACACAUGCAAGUCGAGCGGAGCGGCUGACGGGCGGGUGAGGCCUAGGAAUCUGCCUGGUAGUGGGGGAGGACGAACGGAAAGAGACGGUAAUACCGCCUACUAGCAAAUGGACCUGGGUAGGAUUAGCUAGUUGGUGGGGUAAAGGCCUACCAAGGCGACGAUCCGUAACUGGUCUGAGAGGAUGAUCAGCCACACUGGAACUGAGACACGGUCCAGACUCCUACGGGAGGCAGCAGUGGGGAAUAUUGGACAAUGGGCGAAAGCCUGAUGCAGCCAUGCCGCGUGUGUGAAGAAGGCCUUCGGAUUGUAAAGUACUUUAAGUUGGGAGGCGUUACCAACAGAAUAAGCACCGGCUAACUCCGUGCCAGCAGCCGCGGUAAUUC
rnacentral:rRNA from 1 species